CUACGGGUGGCUCCAGUGGGGGAUAUUGCACAAUGGGCGAAAGCCUGAUGCAGCAACGCCGCGUGAAGGAAGACGGUUUUCGGAUUGUAAACUUCUAUCAGCAGGGAAGAAAAUGACUGUACCUGACUAAGAAGCCCCGGCUAACUACGUGCCAGCAGCCGCGGUAAUACGUAGGGGGCAAGCGUUAUCCGGAAUUACUGGGUGUAAAGGGUACGUAGGCGGCUGAUCAAGUCAGAUGUGAAAGCCCGGAGCUCAACUCCGGGACUGCAUUUGAAACUGGUCGGCUAGAGUGCAGGAGAGGAAAGUGGAAUUCCUAGUGUAGCGGUGAAAUGCGUAGAUAUUAGGAAGAACACCAGUGGCGAAGGCGGCUUUCUGGACUGUAACUGACGCUGAGGUACGAAAGCGUGGGGAGCGAACAGGAUUAGAUACCCGGGUAGUC
rnacentral:rRNA from 1 species